AUUGAACGCUGGCGGCAUGCCUUACACAUGCAAGUCGAACGGCAGCGGACCUUCGGGUGCCGGCGAGUGGCGAACGGGUGAGUAAUAUAUCGGAACGUACCUUUCAGUGGGGGAUAACGUAGCGAAAGUUACGCUAAUACCGCAUAUUCUGUGAGCAGGAAAGCAGGGGAUCGCAAGACUUUGCGCUGAUUGAGCGGCCGAUAUCAGAUUAGCUAGUUGGUGAGGUAAAGGCUCACCAAGGCGACGAUCUGUAGCGGGUCUGAGAGGAUGAUCCGCCACACUGGAACUGAGACACGGUCCAGACUCCUACGGGAGGCAGCAGUGGGGAAUUUUGGACAAUGGGCGCAAGCCUGAUCCAGCCAUGCCGCGUGAGUGAAGAAGGCCUCGGUUGUAAGACUCUUUCGGUCCGGGAACGGAAAGUACGACGACAGGUUAAUAACCCUCGUGUGGAGUGACGGUACCGGAAGUAAG
rnacentral:rRNA from 1 species